rnacentral:rRNA from 1 species
CAGAGGUGCAAGCGUUAAUCGGAAUUACUGGGCGUAAAGCGAGCGUAGGUGGCUUGAUAAGUCAGAUGUGAAAUCCCCGGGCUUAACCUGGGAACUGCAUCUGAUACUGUUGGGCUAGAGUAGGUGAGAGGGAGGUAGAAUUUCAGGUGUAGCGGUGAAAUGCGUAGAGAUCUGAAGGAAUACCGAUGGCGAAGGCAGCCUCCUGGCAUCAUACUGACACUGAGGUUCGAAAGCGUGGGUAGCAAACAGGAUU